rnacentral:rRNA from 1 species
GCAUAUCAAUAAGCGGAGGAAAAGAAACCAACAGGGAUUGCCUCAGUAACGGCGAGUGAAGCGGCAACAGCUCAAAUUUGAAAUCUGGCCUCUUUGGGGUCCGAGUUGUAAUUUGUAGAGGAUGUUUCGGGUACCGCCUCGGUUUAAAUUUCUUGGAACAGAAUGUCAGAGAGGGUGAGAAUCCCGUCUUGGACCGGCGGUAGGGCCCAUGUGAAACUCCUUCGACGAGUCGAGUUGUUUGGGAAUGCAGCUCAAAAUGGGUGGUAAAUUUCAUCUAAAGCUAAAUAUUGGCCAGAGACCGAUAGCGCACAAGUAGAGUGAUCGAAAGAUGAAAAGAACUUUGAAAAGAGAGUUAAACAGUAUGUGAAAUUGUUGAAAGGGAAGCGCUUGCAACCAGACUUGAGCGCGGCGGUUCCCCCUUCCUUUUGGUUGGGUUACUCCGCCGUGUCCAGGCCAACAUCGGUUCUGGGGGUCGGUUAAAGGCCCGGGGAAUGUACCUACUCCUUCGGGGGUAGACUUAUAGCCCCGGGUGUCAUGCGACCACCCGGGACCGAGGAACGCGCUUCGGCUCGGAUGUUGGCGUAAUGGUUGUCAGCGACCCGUCUUGAAACACGGACCAAGGAGUCUAACAUCUAUGCGAGUGUUUGGGUGUCAAACCCGGAACGCGAAAUGAAAGUGAACGGAGGUAGGAAGCCUUUGGGCUGCACUAUCGACCGAUCCUGAUGUCUUCGGAUGGAUUUGAGUAAGAGCAUAGCUGUUGGGACCCGAAAGAUGGUGAACUAUGCCUGAAUAGGGUGAAGCCAGAGGAAACUCUGGUGGGAGGCUCGCAGCGGUUCUGACGUGCAAAUCGAUCGUCAAAUUUGGGUAUAGGGGCGAAAGACUAAUCGAACCAUCUGGUAGCUGGUUCCUGCCGAU